UGGGGAAUAUUGGACAAUGGGCGAAAGCCUGAUCCAGCCAUGCCGCGUGUGUGAAGAAGGUCUUCGGAUUGUAAAGCACUUUAAGUUGGGAGGAAGGGCAGUAAGCUAAUACCUUGCUGUUUUGACGUUACCGACAGAAUAAGCACCGGCUAACUCUGUGCCAGCAGCCGCGGUAAUACAGAGGGUGCAAGAGUUAAUCGGAAUUACUGGGCGUAAAGCGCGCGUAGGUGGUUUGUUAAGUUGGAUGUGAAAGCCCCGGGCUCAACCUGGGAACUGCAUCCAAAACUGGCAGGCUAGAGUACGGUAGAGGGUGGUGGAAUUUCCUGUGUAGCGGUGAAAUGCGUAGAUAUAGGAAGGAACACCAGUGGCGAAGGCGACCACCUGGACUGAUACUGACACUGAGGUGCGAAAGCGUGGGGAGCAAACA
rnacentral:rRNA from 1 species